UACGGGGGGGGCAAGCGUUGUUCGGAAUUACUGGGCGUAAAGGGCUCGUAGGCGGCCAACUAAGUCGGACGUGAAAUCCCCGGGCUUAACCUGGGAACUGCGUUUCUAACUGGCAAGCUUGAGUGUGGCAGAGGGGGGUGGAAUUCCACGUGUAGCAGUGAAAUGCGUAGAGAUGUGGAGGAACACCGAUGGCGAAGGCAGCCCCCUGGGCUAACACUGACGCUCAUGCACGAAAGCGUGGGGAGCAAACAGG
rnacentral:rRNA from 1 species